rnacentral:rRNA from 1 species
UACGGAGGGAGCUAGCGUUGUUCGGAAUUACUGGGCGUAAAGCGCGCGUAGGCGGCUUUGUAAGUUAGAGGUGAAAGCCCGGGGCUCAACCCCGGAAUUGCCUUUAAGACUGCAUCGCUUGAAUUGUGGAGAGGUGAGUGGAAUUCCGAGUGUAGAGGUGAAAUUCGUAGAUAUUCGGAAGAACACCAGUGGCGAAGGCGACUCACUGGACACAUAUUGACGCUGAGGUGCGAAAGCGUGGGGAGCAAACAGG